UAGGGAAUCUUCCGCAAUGGACGCAAGUCUGACGGAGCAACGCCGCGUGAGUGAAGAAGGAUUUCGGUUCGUAAAACUCUGUUGUUAGAGAAGAACAGCGCAUAGAGUAACUGUUAUGCGUGUGACGGUAUCUAACCAGAAAGCCACGGCUAACUACGUGCCAGCAGCCGCGGUAAUACGUAGGUGGCAAGCGUUGUCCGGAUUUAUUGGGCGUAAAGCGAGCGCAGGCGGUCAAUUAAGUCUGAUGUGAAAGCCCCCGGCUCAACCGGGGAGGGUCAUUUGAAACUGGUUGACUUGAGUGCAGAAGAGGAGUGUGGAAUUCCAUGUGUAGCGGUGAAAUGCGUAGAUAUAUGGAGGAACACCAGUGGCGAAGGCGACUCUCUGGUCUGUAACUGACGCUGAGGCUCGAAAGCGUGGGUAGCAAACAGG
rnacentral:rRNA from 1 species